AUCCAGCUGACGAGUCCUAAAUAGGACGAACUGUCGCACGUUUUGGAU
rnacentral:hammerhead_ribozyme from 1 species